AUUGAACGCUGGCGGCAUGCUUUACACAUGCAAGUCGGACGGCAGCGCGGGCUUCGGCCUGGCGGCGAGUGGCGAACGGGUGAGUAAUACAUCGGAACGUGCCCAGUAGUGGGGGAUAGCUCGGCGAAAGCCGGAUUAAUACCGCAUACGACCUGAGGGUGAAAGCGGGGGAUCUUCGGACCUCGCGCUAUUGGAGCGGCCGAUGGCAGAUUAGCUAGUUGGUGGGGUAAGGGCCUACCAAGGCGACGACCUGUAGCUGGUCUGAGAGGACGACCAGCCACACUGGGACUGAGACACGGCCCAGACUCCUACGGGAGGCAGCAGUGGGGAAUUUUGGACAAUGGGCGAAAGCCUGAUCCAGCAAUGCCGCGUGUGUGAUGAAGGCCUUCGGGUUGUAAAGCACUUUUGGCGGGAACGAAAAGGACUGUGCCAAUACCACGGUUCGAUGACGGUACCCGCAGAAUAAGCACCGGCUAACUACGUG
rnacentral:rRNA from 1 species